ensembl:lncRNA
GAACAGGUGAUCAGCGUUGGGUUAAUCAACUCUGAGUAUGUUCACUCUGGGUUGAGGGCGUGCCUGUUGACUAUAAAGAGCCAUCAUCAAUGGAUCUCUGAUAACAUGAUCAAACAUGGACCAAAAGCGUAGAUCCACUUACUUUCUCCCACGGAAUUGGAAAUUCUAAUGAACGCGUAUGCCGAGCAGUUACCCAGAGAGAGCUUGGCCUGAAAUAGCUGAACAAGUCAAUGCAAUUGCCCCAAGAGGACUUGGCAACAAAUGAAGAUGAAGUACAAAAAUAUAGUUCAAACAGCAAAUCGAAAAAAAGCAGAGGCCCGGAAGACUGGAGGGGGUCCACCUCUGCAGCCCUCACAGAGGCUGAGGAGAUGGCCCUCAGACAACAGAGUAUGCGUCCUGUGGCUGAGGGCAUCCCUGGGGGGAGCUCCUCUGAUCCCCCCCAAGCCCCCAGGAUAGAAGUGCCUUUAUAAGAGUUACUGAUGGCGUCAUCGCCCUACUUGAACCAGAUGCCCUCACCAACCUCCAUGCAAUUGUAACAAUUCAAAAGAUGCAAAAGGAUGCUUUGGAGAUCCACAUUUUGGAACAUAAGUUAAAGGUGAGUGAGGUGCAAACUGGGAUACUGUUCCCUGC